rnacentral:lncRNA from 1 species
ACCCCAGGAUUCAGACCAGAACAACAAAAUACAGAAUCAUUGUAUUAUAUUCAAGCAUUGUGUAAAUGGAUCCCUGUGACUGACAUGUUUAUGAGAGUCUGAUUGUCAUGUACACUAGACAUGCUUGCUGAAGGUUGUAGAAUCAUGGAUUGUUGAACUCAAUUCUCCUCUGGAUGCUUCACAAUCACAACAGGACACUUAACGUGCUUAGCACAAUAAUCACUCACGCUUCCUAAGAGAGCCCUGUAAAAUUUAGAAAAGAAUUAAUCUCCAAACAAUCGGCUUGGCUGUGAAUUAGGCAAUAAUUGAAAGGAUAAAGUAGCUAGUAUCAAUUGCUUGUACCUCUUGAUGAAACCAUAACCGUGGCUUCCCAUCACCAAAGUGUCAGCUUCCAGUUUCUCCACAGUACCACAUAUUACAUCCUUGGCAUCGCCACAUCCCACUACUCUCUUUACAUGUAUCUGUAAAAAGAAAAAAAAAAAAAAUCAUCCGUAACAAACUGAAAAAAGGAAACAAUACAGGGGUGUUGAUGAUAAAUAAGCAGAGGCUUACAUUGUUUUGGAAGUUCCUGUACACAGCCUCAGCUCGAUUCAUCACCGAAUUCACCGACUCAGUAGCGUAUUUCUCGACGGCCUUGAUGACAUCAUUUGAGAAUAUAUAUCCUGCGAGAUGAAGGGUCUUUAGUUGAAUGGGAUGUCAUCAUGACUCGUGAACAAAUAAUUUCUAAUAAAAUAAAACAGCGGUAAAACAUAGAAAGGUCCAAGGUCUGGAGAGGACAAAUACUACGGAGAAAGUGGCUGUUCUGACCUGCAGCAUCAAAGGAGGAGUGGACGGGUAGAGGAGGUUUAACGUAGAGGAGGACAAGGGUGUUGUUGGUAUCAGGAGAAAAUAGGUUGUUGAGACACCAUGAGAGUGCAUGCAUGCUCUCUUCACUCUCGUCCACUGCUACCACAACUCUGCGCUCGUUCGUGUUCAUCUUCGGAACUCGUGCGCUGUUAGUCAAGUUUCAAUGGGUUUUUUGGCCUUUUGGCUCGCAGCUUGCUAUAGGUAUAUAUAAUAAUGUAUGGUUCUUGAGAAAUUCUAUGGCCUCAAGAUGUUGUAGAUAAAUGAACAAAAAGAAGAGAUUUAUAAGGGCUGCUUCCUGUGGUUUUGAGUCCUGUGGGCUUUCAUUUCAAAUUAAGAUUAUUGUCCGUUGUCCGUGGUUUUCUUUUUGUGAUGACCAUUGACGAAAGUGUAACUUUAGCUAAAAACAGACUAUUAUGUUUUAGUUUUUUAAUAAAUAAAUAAUUUUUUUCUUUGAUUUUAAAAAAAAUAUGCGAGUUCAUAACUUCGUAUCAUUCAUCUUUUUUCUUUUCUUUUUUUUCAAUUGGACGAUAAUAUUAAUAAAAUAAAACUAUAGAAAAUGAAAAACCAGCCUAAAAGUUACAGUCAAGCCUGUCAACACGAUGAAGAUAUUAUUGCAACCUUUUUCCCGCGGACAUUAAAAAAAAAAAAAAAAGGGGGAAAAAAUCAAUUAGGCGAACUUGAUAACUGAAAAUAUCUCCUCCAAUUAUUGAUCACACAAAAGUCGCCGCCCGUCUGUCUUCUUAUCCUUUGUGGUCUACAUCUGGUGAGGGACCAGUGCCCAAAUAUCUCAAGACUCAAGUGGAGGCUUGGCUACCAAACAUGUUACAUUCAUAAUCUAAUCCAUUUGGCAAAUAACCAGAAGACACCCUGCUUCCUUUGAACAUUUCUUGAAUCCGCUGCGUUCCAUGAUGUAUUCUACUCCCUCCAUAGGUUGUUAAGGGGUCGUUAAUGAUAUUAUUAGAUGCUUUGAAUCUGAUCAAACCCUUGUAAAAUAAAGUACUAAUCGUCCAAUUUGUAAAAAAAAAAAAGGGUACAAUAACAAAGAAUAAAAUAAGGGGGGAAAAAAAAAAAGAUUUGGAAGGAAGAAUGAAAAUGAUUCUCCUUUAUAGAUAGUUUGAUAUGGAAAGCAAAGUGUAGUUAAUGAUACAGUGAUAGAUUUUUUUUAUAAAUAAAAUGAAGGGAUGGUCUACCAUAUGUUGGCUCCUAUGUUACAUCAUUGCAGGUUCUUCAGUAGUUGUAAUGUAAUGUUUGAGUCGAUACAAUAUUAGACCUAUCCUAAAUUGAAACUUCAAUUGCGAUUAAGCAAUUAAUUAAGAGUUGCUGAAUGAUGUCUAUAGUUUCAGUCUUUUUAGACGAAGCGUUUAUUUAUUUAUUGUAGGUGAUGCCCAAUAUUUUAUCUCUAAAAAGAUCCUGGAAUGAAUGAUCAGACCAUUUGUUGAUUGAUGACAUGUCAUCGAACAACGAACGGGACUGACGAAAGACUCUUUCUAAGGAAAUUCAAACCUAACUUCUUGGUACGAGCGUGGGCCCUUGGCCAGACUCAAUCUCAUCAAAGGUGAGCUUUUGGGCCGAUAAAAUAAUGUAUAAAAAAGUGAAAGACAGGGCCAUGGGCCAACUAUAUUAAAUAUCCAGAAUCGUUUUCGAGAGUGAAUUGCCCCUCCUAUAUAUGCACACACACGCACACGAACCAACUUUGAAGCAAAGACUCCUCUAAUUGUAAGUUGUAACAACUACCAUCUAUCUGCUUUUCAUCAAACGUUUGAUUUAUAAAUGAUAAUCAACUAAUAAUCACAUAAUUCUACCGAGCUGAAGAUAAAUUAAAUCAUUAUUCUUUUGUUUUAAACUUUCUUUUUCUGCCCUACUUGCUCAAGUUCGAUCCGAUGUCAUCUAAACGUUACUUCCCAAAUCUUAUUCAAAAUGAAAUUUCAUUUUCAGCCCCAUUUUAUUUUGACAUAAUAAAAUUCACUGCACAACGGCCCAGUGGGUAAAACCCUGCAUUCACAAUUGUGAGAGCAGCAGUUUAAACCUUCACGAUGUAUGUAAGGACUUAUUUCUUUUUUUUUUUAAUUAUAGUAUGUAAUUAAGUAAAGACAAUCUUCUUUUUUUUUUAAAUAUGAAUAGAGUAGACACUCUUUGAAUAUUUGAAAGGAUAAAAUAUAAACAGCACUAUAUAAAAAUUAAUAUAAAAUAAUUUCAAUUAUUAUCUUAUUGUAAAUAUCAAUUAUAAAUUUUAUAUAAAAUGAGUUAUAAUUUAACCAAUGUCAAUACACAAAUAUUCUAAAAGGCCAACUUGAGUUUUAUUUGGGAGAUUCGCAGGAGUGCCUUGGCCCCACUCCAUGUCAGAUGAUCAGCACUGGUCAAAUCUCUUGUAUGGAGAUAUAUAUCGUGUAUGUCCGUUGUCUAAGGCUCUGUUUGGUACAGCUUAUUAAAUAGAACUUAUAACAAUAGAGGUUAUAGCAGUAGAGCUUAUACCAAUAGAGCUUUUGGACAAAAAGUCAUUAGGCGUUUGGUUGUUAAUAAAAAAAGUACUUUUGAACCAUUAAACAGUGUGAUAUUUUUUAUAUUAUAUAUUUUUAGAAAAGCUCUAUAACCUCUACUCCCAAAAGCUUAAAUUUUGGGCUUUUGCUAGUAGAGGUAAAUUAGCUUAUUUAAGCUAAAAAAACUCUACUAAAAAAAUAACCAAACACCAUAAAAAUUUUUUAAAAAAUGCUUAUACGAUUAAAUAAGCACUUAUGGCUCUUAAAUAAGCCAUACCAAAUAGGCACUAAGACGCGGACUCCAUUAGCCGCAUCAAAGAGUUGACGGCUGAGAUUAAUUUGAUCAGUCGAGCUGGUCUCCAUUGACGUAUAUUGAGGCUGCCCACUUGCCACUUGCUUUAAGAGUUCGCAAGGAGUUCGUACAUAUAUUGUAUAUUACAUUCACGCCGUUUGUUCGUGAUACAUCUUUCACAAUUAGAAGCAUCCAAAUUUUGAGAGAAGAGGUGGAAAGGGCAUAAAAAAAAGGAAAAAAAUAAAUAAAGGCGAUAAGAUCAAAGAGGAGAUAGGCACGAGUGUCAGUCAGCAUCCUAGAUAUCAAAAUAAUAACUAGAUUUUAAAAUCAAGAAAUUAACAUGAGUGAAAUUGUUGUAGAAAUAACGUUUGAAAUUUUGAAAGACGUCCAAAUUUUUUUUUUAAAAAAAGAAGUGGGCCCGGGCAUUCCAGCUUGUCAAGAGCUAGCCCGGCUUUUCGGUGAGCGCAUUUUUAUAUUUUAAUAAUUUCUGAUGGGGACCCAUCAAUUUAAAUUUCUGGUAGCAAAACGACCUAGGACGAUUGAGGCUUCUUCAUAUUCAAACUAAUGAAACGAUAAAUUUGAAUUCGACACGGAGUGGCGACAACAAAAAAUAAGACGGUCACGUUUUAACAGGCUCAUCAAAUUGAAAGCAAUUAUUUUUCAAAAGUUUCUUUUCUACAAUCUUGCCUCUUAUUAUAUUAAAUCAAUUUACAAAUUUAUAAUAAUAACAAAACGGAUUGUAAACUCUUAAGAAGUAAUGUAAUUUAAUUAUUAAAGGAAUAUCAUCAUUUUUGUAAAUGGCAUCAAUCACUGUCGUUGUUCGUAGAACGGCUUAAUUUCUCUUGCUUCGCAAGAGUUGUCAAGAAAACGAAAUUGGGCGGAGUGGGAUCGCUUUCGUAGGCAUAAAUUAUAGCAUGCCUUAUUCUGAAAAAACAAAAAAAUAUACAUAUAUUAUUGCAUACCUUGUGAAAAAUGGGAGCGAUUACAAUGUUUUACAUAACAAUCAACGGUAAUAAAUAUACAUUACCAUUUAUUACUGAUGGGUUCAUUUCAUUGACGAUUUAAUCAUUGAGUAAUAAAAAUUAAAUAAAGCUGUAUGCUCUAAUCAGAUAUGUCAUGGAGUCAAAGCUCAUAAAUUAUUAUUAUUAUUCCAUAGUUGUACAGUACACGGUGAAUCGAAUUAUAUAGGUGGGUGUCAAUUAGUUCAUUUGAUAAAAAUUUUAUGAAUAAAAACGAGAAAUAUGGAGUUUGAGUCUCAGCUCACGUGAACGGGUAGUAAAUUAAAUCAUUAAAUUACAAUUAGAAAAAAAAGUGGUGAAUUAAAACAGAUUAAAUUACAUAUUUUUUGAGUCAGAUUAUGCACUUAAGUCUUUGUACUCAUUUAAAUUUUCAAGUUCGUUAACCGCGUAUUUGAUACAGCUCAGAGUCUCAAAUCGGCCACUCCAGGCAAAAAAUAACGAAACUGAAAAGGGAAAUAAUAAUAAAAAAAAAAACCGAAAUACAAGAGUGGAUAAAAUAAUCAUAUUUAUUUGGAAAACUAGUGAGGGCAGUAUCGAAAUUUCUUAUUGUGCUUCUUACAUUUAAAGUCCUGUCCUGUUUCGGGACCUGAGAGAAAGGAAGCAGACGCAGACACAGCAAAUUUGAAAAUUAAAAAAGGGGAGUUCUAAAAGGAGAGAGAGAGAGAGAGAGAGAGGUCCGAGCUGAUAGAAUAUGGGAGACGUUGCAUUGUUUGUGGAAGAUUUUAAAUCAAAUCCCGAAACAACAUCACACUGUAGAAUUUGUCACGAAGAAGAAUUCGAAAGCUGUAAUAGCCUGGAAGCUCCUUGUGCUUGCUCCGGUACCGUUAAGGUAGCUAAACGAAACAAAAAACGUUUAUUCCCUUUUUUGGCCCAUGUGGGUCAGUUUUGAUCACGUUAUUGAAUUUUGAUUCGGUAUUUGUUUCAACCAAAUUCAUUUGUUUUUUUACUUUCAGUUUGCUCACAGAGAUUGCAUACAGAGGUGGUGUUACGAGAAGGGAAACACAACUUGUGAAAUCUGUCUCCAGGUUUGUUUUCUAAAUGGAUUAGAACAAGUCACUCUGCUUUAAUAUUGAUUAUUUUUAUCUGUAAUUUGCUCAAGUUAUAUUGAUACUGAGAAGAAGAAAAACAAACAAAAUCUGUCUUCAAAUUUCUGUUCUUUUUUGAUUCAGAGUUUCUUCGAACAAUAUUUUUAUCGUUUCUUGUUCUGUUUUGAAUUGUGGGUAUCUGCAAACUUGUCUCUCUUUUUUUUUUUUUUUUUUUUAUUGGGUUAAAGUCUUCUGCGAUAUUAUUACAGGAAUACGGACCUGGAUACACAGCACCUUCCAAGAAGUCUCAGUUAAUUGAGGCUGCAGUGACAAUUAGGUAAUUACAGUUAUACUGAAUUUGAAGACGCGUGAUUUCUUAAGACUUUCCGCGUUGGAAUUGUUCCCCUUUACUUGAACUAGAAUAAUAUUGCAUUUUAUGUUUAAUUUAUUUACUAAGUUUUUUUAUUGAAAAAAUAAAAAUAAAAAAUAUAACUAAUAUGCCGGACAUGCUGCUUGCUUUACAACUAAUUUUGCAAGUUGCCGCUCAAAUUAAACCUAAACGUGCGCCAAUGUCUCGUCUUGUGUUCUAUUUUUAUUUUAUUUUUUCUGUGUCAACUAACUGGUAUUUUGUGAAAACUCCGACAGAGAUAGCUUGCAAAUUCCGAGAAGAGAACACGUGCCACGAAACCCAAGAUUAGUGGCCAUUGCCGAAAGAUUAUCCGCGGAAUCUCAUUACCCCCAAUGCUCAUCCGCAGCCGGUAGGACCGCCGCGUGCUGCCGGUCGCUGGCUCUCACGGUAUGUUUUUUUAUUCUGCGAAUGGUCAAGCUAUAGAGUUUUUAAUGUUAUUGAUAGUUAGGUAGAUAAUUUGGCGAAUGUAUGCUUUUAUUAUUUGUAUGAUCAACACCACUUUUGGUGCUAUUGGUUUGUUUUGGCAGUUCACGGUCCUUUUGCUUGUGAAACACCUCUUUGCUGUACUUACCGGGAACACCGAUGAUUACCCAUUCGCACUUGUCACUGUAAGAAUCUGCUGUUUGUUGGCACGUCAACAAUCACUAUCAUCUCAAGUAUCUGUGUCAUUUGGUUUUUACGUUGUCUUGACUCUUGAAAUUAUUUUUACAGAUACUUCUUCUAAGAGCUUGUGGAAUUAUACUCCCUAUGUAUGUAUUGAUGAGAACAAUCACAGCCAUUCAUAACAGCAUCCGGAGGGAAUAUCAUCAUGUUAGUUUAGUUUUUUUUUUUUUUUUUUUUUUUUGGUCGCUCCCCCCAAAAGAACACACCAACUAAACUAAUGUAUUAACUACUUAAUUAUAAGGUAGCCGUGACUGAGCCAACAUUUUAUCUACAUUUCAGGUUACGUAUGAUGAUGAAACCUCGAAUUCUGAUGAAGAAGAAGAUGAUGAUGAUGAUGAUGAAGAAGAGGAACAAUUGGAUCCGCGUCAUUCGGUGUGAACACUUAUUAGUUUCAUUUGUAUCAGGGCAGUUAACCAAUGCUCGAUUUUUGGGAAUUCCCACGUUUUGUGGGCAUGCCAUGAAUAUAAACAAAAAUCGCAGAAAUUCUUUCGUCCAUAAAAAGCCCACGCACUCCUCCGCUGUCCCACUACUGAUAAUUGAAUUUUGACGUUCAGAUCGCUUCUUGUUUUUCUCCCCAUUAAUCUCUCUUUAUUUUUCAAAUUUAAUUAUGAAUAAAAUACAAAUGAUUUGAUUGUGAACAUCCAAAUUGAAAAAUUAAUUUCAAUUGCUUAUUUAAGAAACGACUAGGAAAAGGGAAAAAAAAAAGAAAACAAAAAGAAAAUCAUUGUCACUCUUUCUGCCUCAUAGACCUGGGAAGGGCAAAUACUUACAGUUUUCAAAGCAGGAUAUUUGAAUGAUGAACCAAAUUCUUUAACCUUUACAAAAAGGGCGAAGGCAUAACGACGUUGAGCGUAUUUCGGGUGCAACAACGACGCUACAGCCAUUUACCCUGGGUGUCUGAGAGCACGACUACUUUGUCCAAUCAACGUUGGCCGUACGAUUUUCUAACACUGGCGGCUAAUAUACAAAUGGCAGGUCAAUCUAAAUUACAAAAAUGCUGAACAGCUUGGAAUUAAAGCUGUUGAAUCUUAUCUAACUUACAUUGCUACAUGCUUGAGAUUUCAGCUUCACUCACCCUUGGAUGAUCCUAGAAACUGAAAACAAAUGCCUCCUGUGAGAAAAGUUCUCUGAAUACCACAAUGAUGUCAUAUAUACAAGCAGAUGCUGAUGUCAAAUUUAACAGGAUUCCUCAGUUUUGUUGUGUAAAAAAUAGUCUUGCUUGACGCUGCAUUUCUGUGAGGCUGGUAACACCAUCACCCUCCGAAGACUUCUGACAACUUAAGUUUGCAGUGAAACUGAGCAAACUUUGGAUCAAGACCACCAUAUGGUCAACACAAUGGUCUGCAGGCAAAUUUUCUUCAGAUUCCUUCUUGUGCUUACCAUAUAUAGCCUCAAACUCUGUGGACUUUGCAACAGCUUUUUGAAGUACUUUGUCGGGAAGUCCUGAAAUGGUUACUAGUAAGUGCUUAAGAUUCUGCAUUUCUGCUAUUGACUAGGUAAGAAAUUCAGAUUCACAGUUUGAAAAUGCCAGUGUCCAGUGUGCAAAUUUUUAAUUUCUAUAUGUAAUGAACCAAAAGAUACUUCCUGGCACAUUAAUGACAAACUAUCCAUAAAAUAUUUUCUUGGUAUCCCUGUUGAUUCUAUUUAUUUUUCCAAAUUUUUUAAGCAUAGAGAUCAAAACAAACUGAAUGGUACAGUUCUUGAUGCUACUAUGAAUCACUUCAACAGCCACUAAAUUGCAUGAUCACCACCAUAGGCUCUUGUUUGGUGGGACUAAUAGAUGACAACAGAAAGCAAAGAACCUCACCAGCUAGUCGUGCAACAUUGACGCCAUAGCUUUUGGGACAUGCACCGGGGCUCAACCUAUAAAGAAAUGUAACUUCUUCCACACCUCCAACUCCAUUUCCGACUUGGCAAGCCAUAUGACAGAGCGAGACCUGCACAAAACAUUAAAGAUAAAUAAUCACACAACAAAACUCAAAGAUUUUAUUGAUUAAAGAAAGGCUAAGACGUUCAUCUUGAUAAAUUUUAAACUGAGAAGAGAGGCUCAUGCAUUUUUCAAUCCAUCGAUAAUUUAUGAACCCAUUUAUUAGAGACAACCUUGGCGGGUGAUCAAUAAUAAGUCUAGUGUAAAGGCAGCCAUGAAGUUAAAAAGAUUCAGUUUCAAGCAAAUUUAACAGUCAGAACAUACAGAAGCAUACCCUGGGGUCUUUCUUAUAGUCUACAGCUAAGCGGUGAUAGUGAGUUGAAAACAAUCCACGGCAUUGCACUUUAUGAACAAAGUGCUCAAGAACUGACUCCCUGCCAAGGAUUGAAACCCAGAAGAAAAAACACUGAAAAACUAGAUAGUAAACUGAAAUUUCAAAGAAAAUGCAGCAUUGGUGAGAGGAACAAUCAUUGUAGGUUGAAAGGCUUAUUAUAAAAAGGCAACUUAAAAUAUCCAUGAUGACUGAAACUUACGCAAUGGCUUGUCCAUCUGAAGUCGAUGUCCCACGUCCAAGUUCAUCUAGCACCACCAAUGAAUUACGAGUUGCUGAUGACUGCAAUAGCCAUAUUAGAUGAGUGCAGAGUAAAAUGCUUAAAUACUCAAAUCACUAGAGAUCUAUAACCAAAAGAUCGAAUUGCUGAUUUGGGACCUGUCAGACAUUUCUAAUGCAAAUGAAAAAUAUAAGGGAACUCAUAAGGAAAAAGAACCUGUAUAUUGAUGUUUAGCAUGAAAUGGCAGAAAAAUAAUAAAGGAAAAAGUACAUAUUCAGACUAAACCAAACUAUCUACCAGCCUAACAGAAAAAUGCAAGGAAAAUCAGUGAUAGUUUGUUAUGUUUUCCAAAACUUGUUUAUCUAUAAGUUGCAAAAAGGUCAAGAAUAUAAAACACAUUCAUCAACUUCCACAUUUUUCUCGUAAGCCUUUUCAUGUCCCCUUUCUCCCACAUUUCAAUACUUGUACAAAUGAUGAUGAAUAUACCUACAAAGUUGGUUUAGGCUACAAAAGAAUCUCACCAGCAUUAAUGCAGUUUCUGAAAGCUCAGUCAAAAAGGUACUCUGGCCUGCCAUAAUAUGAUCUUUAGCACCCAUUCGAACAAAGAUUCGGUCAACAGGUGAAAUUUCAAAUAUUUCUGCCGGGACAUCUGCUCCUACCUGGAGAAGAAUCAAAGGUAUAGAUUACAGAAUAGCACAAGGAACCGCCCAGUACCCAGGCAAUCUCAAUAUUUAAGAAGAACAAACCUGAGCCAAGAUUACAGCUAAGCACACUUGGCGAAGAAGGGUUGAUUUUCCUCCCAUGUUAGGACCAGUAAGGAGUAUGAAACUGGCAUUGCCAUGACCACCUAUGGUAAUAUCAUUGGGAACGAAUUCACCCUUGCCUAAGGAAUCACUUCUAAGAACAGGAUGUCCUAAACUUUUAGCAGAAAUGUAUGGCUCUUCAUUUGAACAUGAGUCUAAGAUAACAGGACGGCAUGUUGGCCCUUCAUAAAAGUCACUUGCAAUAGCCAAACUGAUUAGAGCAUCCAGUUCUGCAACAUGUGUCAGCCGAUAUCAACCUUUAAACCGAAUACAAAUUGUGGAAAAUGUAAAUUUUCUUUCUACUCUUCAAUAAAAUAAUGCCUUGAACCCAUAAAUAAUUUUCUUGUACAGAAUAUUAGAAUGAAGAAAAUAAAAAUUAAGGAAACUAUGUAAGCCUAAAAAAAAAAUAAUAAAGAAACUAUGGUGGAGUAACACAAUUUUGGUUGGGGAGCACUUCAAGAAGUAAGCUUCAACAGAACAAGAAAUAAGUUAAAAACGAAAAAAGAGGGACAAUCAGUUUGUAACACAUGCCGAUACAACAAUACAACCAUUAACAAAUACCUCUUUUGGUAAAAAAAAGUGAUGAGGUCUCUUCAGAGAAGAAAAUAAAUUAUCUACAGUUGACAAACUAAUUCAUUUCGAAGGAACAGCUAUUGGAUUGCAGGAUUAAGAAUGCAUGCAAUAAGCUCCCAUCCAAUAAAAUAAGUGUCAAACCUGCUGUUGCCGCAACCAUCUGUCUCCACUUAUUAUGGUGUUCACAAAACUGUCCAAUCAACCUCUGCAAAAUGCUCUUCAAUGCUGACUCCUUUUCAGACUCAGCUUGUGAGAGCUCUCCCAACAAUUUCUUAAUGUUUGGAGUCCAGUACCUGAAGAAACCCUGCUUGAAACAGAUGAAAAGCCAAACAGAAAAUUCGGCAUAAGGUCAUGCCAGCAAAUGCAGAUUUAGAACUACUCUUGACUAAGUCAAUAAUCAUGGCAACAGAUAACACCUUAAUUACAAUACAAGCAGCCUUCCUUUCUAAUUAAAAUUCUCAAUAGGCUGAUGUCAAGAUUAAUGGACAGGUAUAGUAUCAGAAGGCAUGACUCCUCCGAUUUGGAACUACACAGUUCUGGCGUGGCAUGAUGGACAUAAUGAAACGAUUACAACUUACAGAUGUCAAAUGAGAAAGAAAUGUAACCCAUGUCCUCAUGGGAAGAAUAUCCACAUUGUAAGCUUAAGGUCCACUACCACAUUAAAUUCUGAGUAUACCCACCACCCCCCCCCCCCCCCCAAAAAAAAGGAGAGUACUGGGUCACAACCAAAGCAAUAGAAGGACAGAACUUUGAUAAUUUAAUUUGUCCAGAUGCAACAAAUUCAUCUUAAAUGCAGAGACAUACAAUAUAUUUUUGUUCUUCAAGUUCUGUGCUUAAUGAUAAUCACCUUUUUGGAUGAUCGUAACUCAUAAUCACGGGGAACACUCCCACGCAAACUUUCUGGUACCUCUAGCAAGUAAAGAUCUUUGCCAAUGGUGACAUAAGUGAUCUGUUCCACAUCAUAAGAGAAGUUUUCAAUUUAUUAAGACGAAAAAAUUCUGUGAAGCACACCACUGAAAGAUUAAAGAUCAAUAGACUUCCAGAAAAGUUCUUACUGAUGUGUCUCCAAGUAACUUCCUUUGCUCCUUGAGGUGUUUAGUUAAACUUGCUUCUAUCUCCUUAACUUUUUUACAGGCAGAGUCAUAGUCCAUAUCAACGCCACCAUGAGGUAUUAUACGACCAGAAUUAUUGGCUUCCACCCAAUCAAAGGCAUCCUUGAAAUGUUUCAGUAUUGAAACGAUAGCAGGAAGACCUUUGCCUGCACAAAAUAAAAGUUGGGAGGUCAAAAAUGAAUUGUGGCAUAGUUAAAAAUCACGCCACUCAUACCAGGAGUUAAUAUAUGAUGUAGCUGUCUAGACUCAGUAUUUUCCAAAAUGGCACCCAGCGAUGAACAUGCUUGAUCCAUUAACUCGCAACCAUGUAAAGCUGAUAUAAACUCUUGAAGCUGCUUCUUUGCUGCAUCCUCGUAUAAAACUACUUUAUUUGAAUUUCUUCCAUUAGCUUCACUGUGUUUGAUCAACAAAAUAAUACAUAAAUGGUUUUAUAUAAUCUUCAGGAGUUCAAAACAAAAUAACUGAUAUAUUCCUGAUAUAUUCGAACUAGUGCAUGUGAAAUUCUUUCUAAGCUUUUACCUACUGGCAAAGAGGCGAGCAAGUAAGCGCUCCAUAUCUGGUAGCCUGGACAAGGCUUUUCGAAAUUCCAGUGCAAAAGGUUGAUUUACCCCCUAUAAAGGAUGUAAGAUAUCAAUCAAAAUACAAGUAUAUUAAAUAUCACCAAAUUUACUAGCUAUUCAGCUCAAUCCAUCGUGAGAAUACAAUGCAAUGCCCCGAAGCAUAUUGUUUAGUUCAAUCCAGGAUAAAAAAAUUGAAAAUAAGACAAAGGAUUUAUCAAAAAUCAGGUGCAGGAAUGCUAAUAUAAAUUCAAAUAGAAAUUGCCCUGGUGACAACAAACACAAGAAAAAUAUAGCAACAACAUCCGAUUCCAUGGACUCAGACAUUCUGUUUAAAUGAAAACGAAAGAAAGAAUUAUCCAGAAAACUAUUUCAUAAUUAGAAGCAUGAAUAGCAGUAAACAAAGAAACAGAAAACCCACCCGUAAACCAGCAACAGCAUCCUGUCGUUCCCUUAUUAAUCCUGAAUUAUAUAAAGGCCUGGCUAGCCAUGUCCUCAGCAACCUCUUCCCGAAUGCUGUCACACAAUGAUUCAACUGUGUGUACAGCGUUCUUCAGGGGCAAAUAAAUCAGUUUAAAGUGAGAUGAAAAUGGCAAUAACAUGCAAUAGUAUGACAUUAAAUAGCCCAUGACAAGCUUACCCUGAAGAGUCUCCACUUCUACUGUUCUCAAAAACCUCAAGGUUCUCCAAGGCAGGAGCAUCAAGAACCAUGUAUGGUUUUUUGGCCAUAUCCCCAAAGCCAGAGCAUGGAAGUAAUUCAAACUUUGCAAAUCUAAGCAAUGUCUCAUCUAGAAAAGACUGCUUUAGAUAAAACAGAGUGCCUCCAAGAGCUGAAAGCACUUGGCUUCCACUGUCACCAGUGCUUAUUAGCUCUGACAAAAUGUCGGGAAGGCAGGUCAACCCAUCUCCUUCUGCCUGAGAAUUAGCAACAUUGGAAUCUGCUUUGUUUAAAGAUUCAGCAGUUAUCCUCUUAUAGAUAUUUUUGAUCUCCAGAACAGUCGUUUCAGCAUCCCAAAAUUCUGAGAGAGGGACCAAAUCAUUCACCAACGGAUUUCUUGUAUGUCUCAGGAUUGCUCUUUCAGUUUCAGGACUGAGCAUAUUUGCAGGUUUUAUAAUUUCUACAGGCCUUAGCUCAGAUAACAGGCAACACAACACACUGCAGUCUAAAUCAUCCAUAACCUGGUUGAAGGGAGAAGCAUACAUGGUCAACUUGGGACUUCAGAUUAACAUUCACAUCCAAGAAUGAGAGAUAUAAAAUAAGGAGGGGUCUUGACACAUUAAAAUCUACACCCAAACCUGUCCAAGAAUUAUCCUGCUGGUAGCAACAUCAACCACACAGAUACCAAAACAACGGUCAGUGCUUUGGCUUGCGGGGCUCUGGUUGCUUUCAGUCAGUGCCAUCAGGUAAGAAGCAUCUGGAUUUGCUGACAGCAAUUCUCCCUCAGUUAGUGUUCCUUUUGUAACUACUGCACAUAUUUCACGUUUCACCACCUACAAACAAUGGGAAAAAAAUGUUAAGAACUUUUAUUUUUCUUUUUCUCUUUUCCAAUUUUAUGUACCAAAUUUGACAUGAGAAAUCUGAAGAUAUAAUGGCAAAGAAAGAAUUGCCUAGGUAGUAUGUGGCAAUUUCUAGAUUUGACUUGUGUAUCUGACUACUAGAGGUGACAUAGUGAUCAGCAAAUAAUAUUUUAGUUAGCAUAAAUAUUACAAAAGUAAAUGUAUAUCUAGAAUCCUUAUUCAGUAGCCAAUUCUUGGAAAAGGUAAAAGAAUAUUUGAUAGCUAGAAACGAAAGACCCAAAAAACCUAGAAUUCUUAAAUAAAUAAAUCAACAGACCUUAUCUUUAGAACCUUUCUCUUUUCGACGAAGCUCUAACUGUUCAGGUGUUUCAGUUUGCUCUACGACAAGAACCCGAUAGCCCUGCUCUGUCAAGAUAGCUCAAAUGAAAUUUUGCGGAAUACAAAAGGUGUUCAUAAAAGAGAAGAAAAACCCUCAACCUUUCUUGCCAAUUUCUCCACAUUCAUCGAGAAGUUCCUCUCUGGAAAUCCACAAUGAGGUUGUUCUCCCUAAGAAAUGAUGGAUAUUAAUUAUUACUUGAGAAGAGCUUAACAAACCAUGAAUCUAAAAGAGAUAUCCACUUUUUACAGCCGAGAUUAGCCCACAAAUGUUUUUAGCUAAUGAAUUUCUUCUUUCUAACUACUGCGGCAAAUGUCCUCCACAAAAUUAUAGAUCAAAAGAUAUAACAAGUUUACUUAACCGAAUUCCUCCAAAUGAAUUCAUACCUUCAUAUACUGCAAGUCAAGUUCUUUUGCUCCUACAUGCGCAUCCAUUUCAAAAAGUUCAUAAAAUUUGCCCAUCUGCUUGAAUGAAAAAUGAAUGUUAUUUAUUUUAUGGUGCUAAUGACAGUGACAAUUAGGACAACAGAACCCAGCUUUAAUUGAAUGGAGUAAACAGCAGGCAUACCUUAAAAAAGAUAACCUUGUCCAUAUGCUUUGACUUGAACUCCCACCAUUGUUUCUGUAUGAUCACAAAUUGCUACUCAGUGAAUCUAAAGGUGAUUUAUACCUCAGAAAACUUGAAAUAAUAACCGUGCAAAGCUACUACCUGGCCUUCUGAUAAAUUUCUUAAGAAAUCAGGUGGCAAGUAGAGAGUCCUUGGAUCAUAAUAUACAUCUCCAGGGCGUCUUCUUUUUCCAUCCCUGCGGUCUCUGUUUCAGGAUCAAAUCUCAAUUCAGCAGAUAAAUAUAUAUUGCAUGUAUUUUCUACAUACAGUUUACGUAGUAGUUGCAACUAAAGUGGAAGGAACAAUGAUACAACCAAACAACUUUAAAGAGGGAACAAUUAGAAACAAUAGAGUAGCUGCAACUAUCUGAAGGCUGCCACCAAAUAGAGUAGCAACAGCAAAAUGUCACAAACAUACAAAAGGAGUAACUUACAAAAGCUUAAAAGGAAACAAGAAUAUGUAACAAGAGCUUACGGUCCAAGGAAGUGGAACUUGUCCGCUUCACGUGCACUAAAUCUCUCUGAGACAUCACCCAUUACUGGAUUAUCAAAACCAUUAGAUAACUUAUCACCUGCAUCAAAGCAUACUCAGUCAAUAUCCAUCGUAGAUAUCAGAACUUGAUCUUUAUUAGAUGCAAUGGCAUGGCUUCUAGUGAAAUAAUAACAGAAAGUUGAAAAGAAACCAAUUUAGCUUAUUGUGGACAAAGGGUAAGAAGAAAUCAGCAAGACAAUAAAUCUAAAAACAAAUUAAAAUGUAAAUGUAGCUGAAAUAGUUCCUAGUUUUAAAGGAGAGCGAUAAUAAAAAAACCACUAUACUCCACAAAAAUUCCUAUUAAGAUAGGAGCAACAGUCAUAGUAAAGUCAAAAUUAGAAUAGAAAUAAUCUAGAAAGUAGUCUAUGUGGAACACCAACUUAAGAGUCUGAUGAAUCUCCAAUUGCUAUUGCUAUUGCCAUAUUGCCUGCUUAUCUUUUUGUAAGAAAAAUUAUAGAGGCCAUGUUUUCCACAGGCAUGAUGCCACUAUGUCCACAAGAAACUUAAAUUAUACAAACAAUCUGCCCAUAUCUUGCACACUAAUUUCUAGGUAUGAUACAGGGAAGAAAACUAAAUCUCGCAGACCCAAAAACUGUAAAAAGAAAUUAAAUCUAAACAAAACAUAAUCACUUACUCCCAAAAAUCUUCACAGGCUUAAUGAUAGUAGACUUAAAGUCGGCAUUAACUGCAUUUCCAUCACUCUUGCUCUUCUUCACUCCACUUGAUUUCCUUUUCCUUCCUCUCAAAACCUUGUUCUCCCGCUCAUCAACAAGAUCCACUUCCUCAUCCUCACUUACAUCCUCCUUUCCCACAUUCUUGUCCCAAUCAUCAUCACUAGAAUCACUUCUAUCAUCACUUAUCUCAUCCUCUACAUUUUCCAUUUCCUCGUCAUCUUCAACCACCACUUUCUUGAAAGAACCACGGCGAAGUCGUUUCAACAAGCUUACACUCUCUUGGACCCACUCAAUCUUUUCCUUUCCCAAAUCCAACAAUUCAUCUUCGCCAUCGUCGUACUGAACCAAAUGCUUAUUACAUUCCUUAUCAAAAGAUUUCACACAACCUUCGUACCAGGCCUUAUCCAAGGGCCAGUAAACCCUAAUCCUCUUGCGCAAAACAUCUUCACCGUAGGAUUUGGCCGCAGCGGGCGUUGAAGGAGGAGGAGAGGGAGUUUGGCCGAUGACGAGGCGAGAUUUUUUAGGGUUGGAUUGGAGAGGGGACGGGGUGGUCGGGCUAGGGCUUGGACUCGGGCUCCGAUUAUAAUUAGAGUUAGGGUUAGGGUUUGGGUUCGAGUUCGACUUAUUAGGGUUUAAUUUGGAGAUAGUGGGAGAAGGAGACGGCGAAUUAGAUUUAGAAAAAAAGGAAGUAAUUUGGCGCUGUGGAUUGACCAGUGGGGAUCUGCCAUUGUUUUGGCGCUUACCCGGAGCCAUUUUAAUUUUACUGCGGAACAAAAGAGAACAAGAAAUGAAAGCAGAAUAAAGAACAUAUGCCUUCUUUACCUCAUUCAAUCCUUCUGCCUGCUCCUUCAACUUCAAUAGAGGCUACUAGGUGUAGGUGGCGGGAAUGUUUCGAGGAAAAUCCCGGGAAUUUUUUGUUACAGUCAGUUCCAGACCAUUUGGCGGGAAUCUGGGGGCAACGGUGUGUAAUUAGCAAUGUGGGCUCCGCCACUGCACAUAUUGCUUGUAAACUCCAAGGUUCGGCCGUAUUUUCCCAUUGGGCUCUAAUUUUGGUCCUCCAUGGCCCAACCUAAUAUUUGAAUUAAAUCACAGAGCCGACAGGGCCCAAUCUUCCUAGCUGCAAUCCCCAUCCACCUACCGCCACAACCGCACGCUCACGCCGAUCGAUCAUCUAUCUUGAUGAUCCCCGCUCUCAGAAAGUGGAGCAGAAUUUCGAUUUUGCUUGGUCACAGCUUAGAUUCUCAAUCCCAUUACUCAACUCUUUCAAGGUCGUAUGGGAAUGGGUAUGGCCAACUCUACUCGACCACCACCGAGCUACUCUCUCUCAAUCAGAGACAAAGACGAGGAGCGAAACGAGUUCACGGCGACGGCGGAGCCAAAUGUUCUCGUGGUAGCACUCUGUCCUUGUCUCGUUUGCUUCAUUAUUCUUCUUAUUGUAGUCUCUAUCGUUCUCAUUGUCAAGUUCCGUGUCUUUUGCCACACUCCUCUUCACUCCAUUCUUUACAAAAAGUACUGCUAAAUAAAUCUACGAAUGUUGUUGCUUCUUCAUUGACCAAUCACAAUUUAGCUACCAAUAUUCUGGAUUCGAAUUUUGUGAAUUAUAGGAACGUUUCUAGUGUUACAGAUGAUAAUCAAGAUUCUGAUGGUGACGUGGAAUGUGAUGGGAAUAAUUCUGAAUCUGAAAUUACUAGUGUUAGUUAUAAGUCGACUGCUGAUCCUAGGGAAAUAGAGAGGGUAUGCAAGGUGAUCGACGAACUGUUUUCAUUGGAUCGAAACAUGGAGGCAGUGCUUGAUGAAUGUGGAAUAAAUUUAUCUCAUGAUUUGGUGGUAGAUGUGUUAGAACGGUUUCGGCACACUAGAAGACCAGCUUUUAGGUUCUUUUGUUGGGCAGGGGACAAGCCGGGAUUUGCCCACAAUUCUAGGACUUAUAAUUUGAUGAUGAGUAUAUUAGGAAGGGCUAGACAAUUUGAGACAAUGGUGUCUAUGCUUGAAGAAAUGGGUGAGAAAGGGCUUUUAUCGAUGGAGACGUUUAAGAUUGCUAUGAAUGCUUUUGCUGCUGCCAAGGAGAGGAAGAAAGCAGUUGCUAUUUUUGAGUUGAUGAACAAGUAUAAAUUUAAAGCAGGUGUUGAUACUAUUAAUUGCUUGCUUGAAAAUCUUGGACGGUCAAAGCUUCCUAAGGAAGCCCAACUGCUUUUUGAUAAGUUAAAACAUAGAUUUACACCAAAUUUGACGACUUAUACUGUGCUGCUUGGUGGUUGGUGUAGGGUGAAAAACUUGAUGGAGGCAGGGAGAGUGUGGAAUGAGAUGAUUGAUAAAGGAUUUAAGCCUGACGUUGUUGCACAUAAUAUUAUGCUUGAAGGGUUGUUGAAGAUUGGGAAAAGGUCUGAUGCAAUCAAGUUGUUCGAGGUAAUGAAAGCCAAGGGUCCUUCACCGAACGUAAGGAGUUAUACAAUUAUGAUCUGGAAAUUUUGCAAGCAAAGUAAGAUGAAGGAAGCAGUUGAGUAUUUUGAUGAGAUGCUUAAAUUUGGGUGUCAACCGGAUGCUGCAGUUUACACCUGUUUGAUCACAGGGUUUGGGAAUCGGAGGAGGAUGGACAUUGUAUAUGACUUGUUGAAGGAGAUGGAAGAAAUGGGUUGUCCUCCGGAUGGGCUCACCUACAAUGCACUAAUCAAAUUGAUGAAAAUUCAGAAGAUGCCAGAUGAAGCUGUGAGGAUAUACAAGGAGAUGGUCCGGAGUGGCUUUAAACCAACAAUUCACACUUACAACAUGAUCAUGAAAUCUUACUUCCAGACUGGAAACUAUGAAAUGGGCCGUAAAGUAUGGGACGGGAUGAUUAGAAGGGGGUGCUGCCCUGAUGAUAAUUCCUAUACUGUCCUCAUCGGGGGGCUAAUUAGUCAGGACAGAUCGGGAGAGGCUUAUAAAUACCUAGAAGAAAUGUUGGAGAAAGGAAUGAAAGCUCCAGUGCUUGACUACAACAAGUUUGCAGCUGAUUUGUCUAGAGCCGGUAGAAGUUAUGUACUAGAUGAGUUGGCUCAAAAGAUGAGAUUCUCUGGUAAAUUUGAAGUCUCCAAUGUCUUAGCAAGGUGGGCUGAGACGACAAAGAACAGGGUUUACAGAAAAGAUCGUAUUGAAACUGAUUGAAGGUAUUUGCGGAGGACCAUUGCUACUUGGAUAUUCAGAUGCCACAUGGAUGAUAUAUUGUCUGAUGUUACUUUCCAAGCUUAGCAGAUGAACGGUGCUGAUGUAGCUCAUCAAGUACAGCCAUACUGAUGUUUGUUUGUUUAUUAUUUUUCUACGUACUUGAGUUUAAACUCUGAAGAUUUAUGCAUCCUUGGAUUUUAUAUGAUCAUAUUUUGCAUACAAUGGUUGGUCGACAGCGCUUCUUUUAUUUUUUGAUUGAUUGUUUUAUUAUUGUGCUUUGCAUCUUAUAAUUUGUAGAUUAUGAACAAUAACAACAAAUAACAAUAUGACUUGUUAGAUAUUCUGUCUCUCAAGUACAUGCAUACUGAUGUUUGUUUAUAUGGUUCUAGUUAUUUCAGUUUAAAAUCUGACUAUUAUAUGUAUCCUCUGAUUUUAUUUUAUGUCAUCGGCUAUUAAUUUUCUGCCUUAUUAUGGACAUCCAUUUUACUGGAAGAAAAAUAGAAAGCCAAAUACCUCGAAUCCUUUUUUUUUUUUUUUUCCAUCCUUGCAGACAAACACAAACUACUGUACCAUACCAUUGGCUUUAUUCUUCGUCAUCUAAAAGACUAAAACACGUGAAAAAUAUGACGUUUACACACGCAAGUUUUCUCAUGAUUGAGUUGAUAUCGAAUAGGUUUGGUUUUUAUGAUUUAUGAGUUGGGAUAAUUUUAGUUUUUGAGAGUCAUUGAACCUGUUAUUAUUCUUGGUCCGGAAACAACGACUUAGUAGUACAGACAAUACAAACUUUGAUCAACAUCGAAAGUGGCAAAUCCAACCAAAUCCUUUAAUUUUCCAAAUUACACAUACUAAAAAUUUGAUUCUUGUGAUUGGUAUGAAUCUUGUAUGUCAUGUCCUCUAAUAUAUGAUUAUAUGAACUGUUGUUGCUGAAAUCUGGUCGCCCUUGGCCCGACCAAGUUGACUCACCAACGGUUCUAUUGACAACGAUGAACAAGCUACACUCCACAAGCUCCUUCAAUUACACGGACUCUUGAGACUCAAAUCCCCUCCUUCCUCCUUCAAGACCUGCGUCUACAGAAACAAAUCAUAGAUGCCGGUGAUUUUUCUGGCGAAAACUCUCCAAUGCUUAAGUCAGUAUGCGGGGUUUUCAGGAAAACUAUGUAAUUUAAGUUCGUGCACACUAAUGCCAAGGUUAUCAAAGAAAAGUGUAUUGAAGGCUUUUAUGGAAUAAAGUUCUGGUGCCAAUUUGGCAUAGUUUUCCCUCUUUUUUUUUUUUUUGGUUCCCCUUUUCAAUCUAUUUUCCCAGCUUUUAUAGGUAAUCGCUCCAUGUUCCUAGAACAUUUCCCAUGCCCAGUUAUAUUCGGGUGAUCAAGGGCCUUAACGGGUCACAACAAUCAAACGUGGGUAAACGUGGGGCAUCGUAUUCUUCCUAGCGGUUUGGGGCGUGGCGAAACUGUCGCGUUGUUGCGAGAUCGUGCCCUUUUUUUGAGUGACGAGCUCCUGAUCCGUACCCAUUUCUGGUCGGUAUUUAUUCCAUAAAGAAUAUGCUACCAAGAAUAUGCUCAUACCAUUCAGUCGAGGAGAAUCGUCCCCGGGCAGGAGGUGGGGAUAUGCCGACCAGUACUUUUUAUUACCAACAUGAAUGUCAAUGUCGUGAACAUGAAAUAGAUGACAUGUCGUCUUAUAGCCACUGAUUUUCUUUUUCAGCUUUUUUAUUUAUUUAUUUGAAUGUACCCGUUUUAUUUUAGUUACAUUACAAUCCAUUUAAUAAAAUAUAUGCGGAACCUAAAAAAAAAAAUUAGCGCAGACAGUAACUAUAAUUUUUUUUUCCCAGCUUCUUAAUAAUUUUUGUUGUUUUGUUUUUUUUUAAAUCGAGGGUUAAGGCCUAUUUAUCCUCAACAUAGUUCCACCCUUGGUUAACGCAACAAAUGAAAAUGCCAUUACCAUAAAUUGAAGGGCUAUUCUCAUUCACUGAUUAUUAGAAGAAGCUGACAAUUUAAAGCCAUAUUGAAUUUACGGAAAUAUUGAGCAUGAUGCAUGAAAGGAUCCUUAAACAACAAUAAGAUGUCUUGUAUAAUACCAAGGCUUCAAUAAGAUGUUCCAAUUUUAUUUUUGAAAAAAUAUUAAACAAUGAAUGCUAGAAUAUGCUGAUCGUAAAUGAGAGGAUUUGUUUUAGGAGGAAAAAAAGAAUAAUUGGAUUCAUAUACACUAGAAUCAUAAAGUGAUUACUUUUGAAAAAAAAAUGUAUGAAAAUGAAGUUCUUUUUUAGAGUAAUAAAACCGUUGUUUGUGGGGAAAAAAAAACCAGUACAAAACGGCAACAUUUUGGCCUUCAUAGUAUUCAAUUUCAUUCAGUUCGCAAGUAUUGAUAUGUUUAUAAAGUUAUGAUACAAAAUUUGUGUUAUAAAUGAUGUGGUAUUUAUUCAUUAAUACUCUAAAAUUAUUUCAUUAACAAUAGGACGUAAAAAGUCGACUAUUAUUAAAAAAUGACGGUCAUUGAUUGGCAAUACAUUAUUUGCAAUAAAAACUUUGUAUGUCAAAUUUAUAAGCACAUUGUUUACUCUUUAGAUGUUAGUUUGGUAAUAUUGUAGUUUCAAAAUAAUUGUUGUUAAUUGUACUGUAAAAAUAAUUAAUUGUGAAGAUAAUCAAUUAAAUGAAUGAUAAAAUUUGUUUUUAAAAAUAUUAUAAUUUUUAAAAAUAAUAUUUAGUAAAUCUUACUGUUAAAGUUGCUGUAAAAAUAUAAACGACCGAGUUAUAUAUAACAUUAAAUAAAAUUUAUUCACAUCUUUAAAAAAAAAAAAAAAUCUCAAACCGCCUUUAGUUUUGUGUAAGUAAGUUUGCAACUUAUUCAUUAAAGUUCUUACAUGCGCUGGGGGUGUGUGUCACUUAUGUUGGCCAAAAUCAAUUGUUUGUUGAGAAUGUAAGGAAGCACGGGAAAGUUUGUUUUGAUGGUUCAUGAGUAAAAAAAACCCAGCUUUGUACGCUGGUUAAUGAGCAAUCUUCAGGGUCGCUUCAUUUCUUGAGAGAUACACAGGGAGAGAGAGAGAGAGAGAGAGAGAGAGUUCUCUUGAUGAAAGUUUUUCUCUGUAAGUAAAUUAAAAUGUGGAAUAGCUCUGUAAUCAAAUAAGAAAUCGCGGGGCUUGUUUCUUUUCUUGGAUGGAAGUUGGCCACCUGGUGGCUGAACCAUCAUCAUGAAAUCUGUCGUCUUUGUGAUUUACAAUUGGACAAUACAAAUUUCUGGAAAGAAGGAAAUCUCUGUGCUAUACCAAUUGCAUAAACAAGAAACGAAGUGCGCGCGACUUCUGCUGUUUGAUAUAACUGGAUAAUACAAAUUAUAUAUUGUUGUGCCAAGUGAAUUAGAUUUACUGUCACAACCCAAUUUCAAUGAAAUAAUUAUUCUACCAUAUGGAUAUUUGAUUUAAUAAGUUAGUAAAUAUGUCAAAAAUAUUAUGGUAACAAGCUGUUGAUGGCUAAAUAUACUAAUGUUAGUUAAUUUUGAUUAUGUGUCUAGAUAUGAUGGAUAAAUAAUUAAAUGGACGCGCAAGCGUUAUUAAUGAUAAUGUGCACAGAAAUCCCCUGCUUUUAGUUAAUUUCUUUGAUUUGCCAAAAUUUACUAGUUGUUUUAAUUAGCAUGUAGAUAUCUAUUAUUCCUUUUAUGGAUUUUCCUUUUUUGGCGAAACAGCUAGCCCAUGUUUUCUGGGUAUUUUUUAUCUAGUGAUUUUGUGUAAUACGGUGUGCUAAACAAUUCUUGAUAUCUUUUGCUGGUUUAAUUAAUUUGUGGCUGCAGGUAAAAAAAAGAAAAAGAAAAAGACAAAACUAAUAACGAAAUAGAUAGAGAUAGAGGAAUUAAAAUAAAUAAAAAAAGAUUAAAAUGAAACGGCAAAGCCAACGAUAAAAACUUCGUACGUCCAGAGAGGACUGCGUUGCAUGCGGCUUACGUGGUGCUGCUAAAACAAAGCUUCGGCUGCCAAAUGCUGGCAUUUGAUUCUCGUCACUAUAUUUCUUUUUCGUUAAUUUCAUAGCAAUUUUAUUUUGAAAAAUACCCAAAAAGACCUUAAUCUUUUCACGGUAACAAAGAGAGAAUGCCACUGCCUUCCUUGUAUAUUGAUGGGUAAUUGUGAACGAAAAGUUUACAAUAAUUGAAAAAAUAAGAUUUGCUCAGACCAAGAGCUAGCCCAGCAAUAAAUAAAGCCUUCCCUUUCAGACAAGUUAUUGUCUUAAACAGCAGAAAAAACACCAGCUUCUUUUGUUGAAAUUGAGACAAAAGCUUAAGACACUCCACUUGCUUUUGUCCUAUAACAGUCACAAAAUUUGCGGCUCAGUCUUGCAGGUCCUUUUCUUUCUCUUAAACUACUCAUUUCCUCCAGGAUUUGUUUAAUUUCCCUUUUAUCUAUGGUUAUUAUAUAUAUAUAUAUAUAUUUUUUAAUUUUAUCAUUCUUUUCUUGGCCAUCCCUCUAAAUCAUCAUUUUUUUUUAUAUUUAUAUAGAAAAGAGAUGAAGAGGUUAGUCAUUUGUGCUUAUACAAUACUAAAUCGGACAAUUGAGAUUCAUUAAUUUCCAUAUCAAGUGGAUUUUUCACAUUUUUGGAGUUGUUAUAUACUUAUUUUCUAAUGUUACUUUAGUACAUAUCUUAUCGCAUGUUGAAUGGAUCACUACUUUGAAGAUCUAGGAGUCUGGGACUGGUUACCUUGUGCAUGCAAAAAUCACUUCCGCAUAUAAAAAAAAUUUAAAACAAUUUUCCCUGAUCUCUUUUGAAAUCAAGUAUUUGUGUCUAUUAUUUAUGAUAAAAAUCUUUCUUCAUUUCUAAUGAUUACGGAUCUGAAGAAAGUUGACAUAGAUCGAGUGUUUUGGCAAAUCUACUUGAAAUUUUGGAGAAUCACACACUAAAAGUAGCCAAGGGACUCAAUGGCAUACAUGAUAAAAUUGUCUUUGAGGCCUUGGCAAACAAGUACACUUGAAAUUUUGGAGAAUCUCGCACUACAACUACUAGUAGUCAAGGGGAUUCAAUGACAUACACAAUAAUAGUCUUUUUACUAAUCUUACAAGAAGAUCAUUGAUAUUCUUGUGUAAUAUUUCCAAUUUCUUGUUCAAAACAACAGCUUUAACUUUGUUUUGAAAAGGAAAGACAAUUUAAAAAGAAUUUUGAAUUUAAAUUUCCCGCGUUACAAAUGAUAUUUUAAAGUAUAUGUACUUUUUUUCCCGCGUUCCAACUAAUAAAUAAAAGUAUACUUUUUUUUUUAUCCAGUUUUGUAGCGGUCCAAUUAUAAGAAUAUAUCACAUGCUAAGACGCACGCUCUUAGUGUGUGUAUAUGUGUGAGACAAAGCCACUUGGCUACGUCUUCACAAAUUUAUUUAUUUAAAAAAAUGAGAAAUUUACUUCACUUUCACUUAAAGUCUACAUUUAAAAAAAGAAAAUUUAUUUCUUUAUUGUCUUAAAUUUUACAUUCUUUAUGAAGAAAUUUAUGUAUAUAUUCUCUUAAUUGAUGGUUUUUAAAAAAGAAAAUUUAUUGUUUAUUCUCCAAAUUUCAUUUUUUAAAAAUAUUUUAUUGAUUAUAUAUAUAUAUAUAUAUAUAUAUUUAUUUAUUUAUCAAACAUUAUAAUUUUAAUAUUAUAAAUUCUAAGUUCUCUUAAAACUAAUUAUCUAGUGGUUAAAAUUUCCUUCAAGUCAAAAUAAGGUGAUUUAAAAGAGUUUGUUAAAUAUUCACCUCAGUGUAAUAAUAAUAAUAAUAAUAAUAAUAAUAAUAAUAAUAAUAAUAAACAAAACAAAACUUUACAACCUCAAUGGAAUUGCUUCGAAAUUUUACGUCGUAAUUCACCUUGUAGAAAGAUCCUAAGGCAAGUUCAUCGGAGCAACAGCCAGAAGAGGGUUCAUCAAAAUUAUAGCAUAGAUUAGAUAAUUUAAUCCAACGGUUAAAUAUAAUUUUGCAAUGCCUAAAGGGGUAGGGGGUUGCUGUGACUCCCUACAUGGAAACGGUAACACUAAAACGCUACAACAUUAAACCCAAAAUCUUAUUAAAGAUUUGCUUCCGGAAUCAUUACCCUGAUAAGUAAUUAUGGAAGUUAAUAUAUUAUUGAGAGCAAGAACCCUUACAUAUCAUGUAUGUGUGAAGAAUAUUUCUUUUUUUACUUUUACAUGCUCCAAUUCGCAAUUUACCAUGAGAUCGCAGAAAUAUAUUACUCUUGGGUUGAUCUCAACUUUGAAGAAGAUGACGCUCAGCUCAUUGAUAGCGGCUCGGCCUGUUCUUUUCUUCAUCAUUCUGGUGAGUCUACUUUGCAACUCUAUAAUUACUUCUUAUUCCUUCUUAACCGACUUUUGUAAAUUUCAAUUGAUGGAGAGGGAAACACGAAGAAGAAGAAAAAGAAAGAAAAACUAAAUUCCGCUUCAGUUGAAACUGCAUGUCUUGUAAAACUAUUGCGAUGAUUUUGAUUUUCUCUCAUGCAUCUGACAUCUAUUCCGUAAUAAUUUAAAUAUUGAUUUCUUUGAUAAUAUUGUCAUCAUCACGUGAAUUACCUUGGACAUUAAUGCAGGCACUCUCAGUGUUGCUGCUCCCAGCUUCACUAAUCCCAUAUUGGUAUAAGAUGACCAAACAUAUCGAGGAAGACGUGGCUUUGAGCUCCAACCAAUUGCACUCAGCAAUGCAAUCUCAAAUUGAGUGCAUAGCAACACUGCUGCAUCCUAUAAGUUCAUCGGCUACAAAUUUAGCAAGAUUGAUAAGUUCAUCUCUCAAUAAUGGAACUGAACUCUCAUUCUCCGAGAUCGAGACUAAGGUUAGUGUAAGCUAACUUAAUUUCACAAUCAUUAGUCAAUUUGAGGGACUAAUUGUGAUGAAAAUAUUUGUUAAAAUAUUAUAUGUAGGUGGCACCUUCAUUGUUUCAAGCAUUCUUGACAACUCCUCACGCGUCACAGAUUUCAUAUAUUGGAUUGGAUGGUCUUUUUUUUGGCUACUAUGUUGACGGCAACCAAACCCUAGCAUUGUACUCCAACUCUUCAUUUUCUCCGAACCCGAAUGGUUUCCCAAUUGCAAAAGGGAAGUACACAUGGUACAAACAGCCCGUGGAUCGCGACACGGGAAAGCUUUAUGGAGAAGCCAUUGUGACUAAGCCCUCGAGUGUAACCAAAAGCACCUGGUUUCUUAAAGCUUUAAAUAGUACAGAUGGACUAGGCUCUUUAGGAACUGGAUGGAGUAAAGCUCGAGAUGCUUUAUUUCUUAACACUGCUGGUAUAAACGGAACAAGAGGAGCUGUCUCGUUAGGGUUUCCAGUCAAGCCAGUUACCAAUUUAUUUACUGACAUAAAUCUUUACGGUGGGAGGCUAUUAAUAGCAACAAACGAUGGGGAAGUGUUGGUGCCAGGGCUUCCAAAUACUCGGAUGACCAUUGUGAACAACUCAAUUUCCUUCCAAUUGAUCACGAACACAAAGACUAGGGCACAACAAAUGAAUCCUGUUAAGAAUGUUUCAUGCACGUCCGGUAACGGAACGUUAUCUAUUGGUGAAAUAGAUUACAAGGUUUACUGUUCACAAUUUGAAGUCGCGGGUGUGAAAUCGGUAUGUUCUAUACAUGUGAUUGCUUGAUAUUUUUAAAUCUUGAGCAUGAUCUGCUAAUUACUGAACAUUUUGUGUUUGUGUAUCGUGAUUAACUAGGUUUAUUCGCUGGCCAUGCCGCGCAAAGGAUUGGUCAGCCUUGUACACAGAACUAGCAAGCGUGCUCUCAUUCUCCUUAUCGUAAUGACUGCUGGCGUUCUAAUUUCCAUGUUGACUUUUGUUUUCAAAUCGGCUAGAGCUGCCAGAAAGGAGAUGCAUUUGUGUGCCUCGCUCAUUAAGCAAAUGGAGGCGACACAGCAAGCGGAAAGAAAGAGUAUGAAUAAGAGUCUUGCCUUUGCAAACGCCAGUCACGAUAUUCGAGCUGCCUUAGCCGGGAUUACUGGUCUGAUUGAGUUAUGCUAUGUAGAAGCCGGUCCUGGUUCCGAGUUGGAGACUAACUUAAGACAAAUGAAUGUUUGUGCGAAUGACCUAUUGGGUAAGUUUGUUCUUUAAAUCUCUAUUUAUUUGUUAAUUCAUUUAUAUUUAUCUUUUAGUAACUCAUGAUGUAAUAGAAAGAUGUUAGUAUUUUAGAAACUGCGGGGAGCUUAGCAUUAACUAGUACAGUACUUGUGUACACUUGAGCUUGCUAAAAUUAUUGUUAUUUUAAUUUUUUAGGUUUAUUGAAUUCUAUUCUUGACACAAGCAAAGUUGAAGCUGGAAAAAUGCAACUUAUAGAAGAAGAUUUCGAUGUGGGUGAACUACUUGAGGAUGUUGUUGACUUGUUUCAUCCUGUUGCUAUGAGAAAAGGAGUAGAGGUGGUCUUGGAUCCUAGUGAUGGCUCGGUGCUUAAGUUUUCAAAGGUUAAAGGUGAUAGGGUAAAACUGAAGCAAAUAUUAUCAAACUUACUAAGCAAUGCAGUUAAGUUUACUGCUGAGGGUCACAUCUCAGUUCGAGCUUGUGUUAAGAAGCCUAGUGCAAUAGGAAAUUCGUCGCUCUCUUCUAGCCGCCACGGUUUCUUACAAUCAAUAUCCAGCUUGUUUUACAAGAACAAGAAAGCACGCGGUGAUUUGGAAGCAGUGAAUGCAGCUCAGAGAGGUGAAAAUGCUAUGGAAUUUACUUUCGAGGUGGAUGAUACAGGUAAAGGAAUUCCCAAAGAAAAGAGAAAGACGGUGUUUGAGAAUUAUGUUCAGGUCAAAGAAGGAGAAGGAGGCACCGGCUUAGGACUUGGCAUCGUUCAGUCUCUGGUACGUAAAUAAAAAUUGAUAUACAUGUGUGUGAAUACAUUACUAUCUCUUCAUCAAUUAUAUAUACUUUUGGGAUUAAUUUUAGCUCAGUGAAAGAACAUCUCAUCUGUAUUCUGAAACUGCAGGUUCGUCUCAUGGGCGGAGACAUAGAGAUUGUGGAUAAAGAGAACGGCGAGAGAGGAACUUGCUUUAGGUUCAAUGUUUUCCUUGCAAUACGUGAGGCUUCCGCUAAUGAUAAUAAUACACAAGGAGACAAAGAGUUGGCUGCUGGUGAUUCCGCAGCCGGUGACACUCAAUUACAGCACAUGAAUUUGACCGUUAAAGCUCCUAGUCCUAGCCUGAGCAUUCGCACUAACAGCCCCAGGCUAAAUAUUCUGAGCCCUGGUUCCAGGCAUGAGGGAUCCCAUGUUGUGCUCUUGAUUGCAAACGAAGAGCGGCGAAGAAUUGCACAAAAGUUCAUGGAGAAUCUUGGGAUUAAUGUAUCGGCUGUAAGUCGGUGGGAGCGCCUUCAUUCGACCCUCAAGAGGUUGAAAUCAAAGUUCGGCAGCAUCCAUUCCCCUCACAGUUCUUUGGGAAAGUCAGAUCUAAGUUCAAGGAGUGACAGUGAAAGUGCAAGUUUUAAAGAGGUGCCGUUAAGUGCCAUGGAAGGAACCGAGCAUAAACUGCAGGGAUACAAACGGAGAGGCGCACCGAGCUUCAUACUUCUUGUUAUUGAUGCUACCGCCGGACCGUUUUUGGAGCUUUUCAAUAUUGUGGCUGAAUUUAGAAGAGACCUUCAAUGCAACUGCAAGGUUGUUUGGUUAGAUAAGCCAACUUCACGCAGCAUUAAUUUUGAUGGCCUUGAAGACGAGACGAUGGAUCCAAAUGAUGAUGUUCUGCUGAAACCUUUUCAUGGAUCCCGUCUGUAUAAAGUCAUAAAACUUUUGCCAGAAUUUGGAGGCGUUCAAUCGAAAAGUCAUGGGAAAGCUUCUAGAGACGCCGGUUCCUCGUCAUAUUCAAAGCAUCCUUACAGAACGGGAAAAUCAAGAAGCAAAGCGGGUCGUCAUGAGAUACAAGAGGAGGGUAGCUCGAGCAGUGAACAUUCGAGGAGGGAUAUUAUGCCAAAUGCUUCUGUUCUGCUCAAAACGGGAAAUUCUUCGGGUGAAGGACCGAGCUCGAGGUAUAAGCAAACCGAAAUAGAGGAAGAGGACGGUGAAACAAGUCAAGCUCAAAAACCCUUGAGAGGGAAGAAAAUCUUGGUAGCCGACGACAGUAUGAUGCUUAGAAGAGUGGCCGAGAUUAAUCUUAGGCAUCUUGGUGCUACCGUUGAGGCUUGCGAAAAUGGAGAAGCAGCUUUGCAACUAGUUCGCAGUGGCCUAAAAGAUCAAAGAGAUCUUGGUGCUCCUCACAUUCUGCCUUAUGACUACAUAUUAAUGGACUGCGAGGUAGUGACACUGCUUCUAUCAAUGUUAGAUUUACAGAGCAUCUGUUUUACAGUCUGGUACGGCAUAUGUUAAUUUACAUUGCAUUAAACUAAUUGUGAUUCUAACUAAAAUUAUCUAUAACUUCACUUGUUUGCUAGAUGCCGAUAAUGAACGGGUAUGAAGCAACGAGAAAAAUUCGAGAGGAGGAGAAACGCAACCAAGUUCAUAUCCCAAUCAUUGCAUUGACUGCCCAUAUCUCUGGUGAAGAAGCUGAUAAAACCAUUGAGGCUGGAAUGGACGUCCAUUUAGGCAAGCCUCUGAACAGAGAUCAUCUGAUGGAAGCCAUCAAAUACUUACAGCGCAAACUACCUUGUUCAUCAUAGUGUAUUUGUCCCGUGCAAAUAACACAAAUAUGCUAGCUCAGUAGUCAUGACCUUUUUGCUGUUGGCUCUGUGAAAACGACCUUCUCGCUGCUGGCUUUGUUUUCGUUAAACAAAAAUGAUAGCGUCUAGUGUUAAUGCAUAUAUGUAUAUACAACUCUGUGUUAAAUGGUAAUGACCAUUUCGUUGCUAGUUCUGAUAAACAAUAAGACAUGGAUGCAUGAAACUUUUAGGUAACUAGCAAUUCUUCAAACCUAUUUUGAGUUGGGUAGAAGCAGUGAUUGCUGCAAGGACAAUGAGCUAAGUCAUUGACGUUGAUUCAAAUGGAACCAAAAGGAUGUAGUUUCAUCAGUUAGCAUCACCUAGGUGAGUUUGGAAUAUUGCUGGAGAGAGUGAUGCAGCUCAGAUUUAAUUUGGUCCUGCUAUGACAGAGAAGAUUGAUGAGUAGCUGAAUUGCAAUGUACAGUAUUGGAAAUGCAGGACUAACAAAAUCUUAAUUCAGUAAACAAAGCAUCUAUAGAAAGUGAAAAUGAAAAUUAGUCAAAGAGUAAUUUAGCAUAAAAUCUCUAGGCAUCAAAUGGGAAGAAUAUUAUGGUUCUUGAUCUUGCACGCGCUACAGCUAAGACGGUAUUACAGAUAUCAGAAAAGAAUUCCCAUACAAAUUUUGGGUUUGCACCGAGAAGUAGAGAUAGUUCUAAGUUAUUUUUGUUUUCUUUGACUUCACAUGAGGCUUCUCAGGGACAUCCGUAUCUUCUUCAGAAGCGCUUUCAACUAAAUCAUCAGGAACAUCAUUAGGAACAUUGUGCUCGGUAAUGAAGUCUUUCAAUAUGCUCAUGCUUUGCUCUUUCAUGGAAACCAACUGCUCUGAAAUACUAUCCUUGUUUAUUGCAUUGAUAGAAUGUACCUCUGACCCAAGGCGAAGUGUACAUACAACACGAGACUUAGGAGGAAUCACAUCGCCACAUUGAACCUCCAUUCACUGCAAAUGUUAUCGUAAUCAGCUCACUGAAAGAUGUAACCUUUUCAUUUUUAAUUUUAUGAAUCAUAAAUUAUUUUGAAAGGAUUAAUAAAAAAGAGAUGACAGCAAGCUUAGUUUCACAAACAGAUAUUCAAAAACAUGCAACCUUCAAAUCAGAGUGCUUUAGUUGACGCAAUUGGAACAUGAUGCGUCUAAGCUGACACAAGCUCAUAAUGCACAAAAGUUGCUCCAUCUACUUACUACCCAUAAACAGCUCCGAAAGAAUAGAAAAAUUAAUAUGAAAAAUACAACUGGCAAACAAUUUUAAGCGACAGCAUAUUACUCGUAUAAAAGAUAGAUUUCAAUUAAAAUAAUAAAAAACCUCAAAAGCCUCUCAUAUGUCAACCUAAUUCAAUUUUCAGUCGGCAGAAACUAGAUAUAAAGAAAACAAUAUGUCUGAAACAGACCCAGUAAGGCGCUAAUCAUAGUUUCGCAAUUUAAUUUCGAGCUACUGUCUCAUUUCUCCCGCAGCUAAGCAAUUUUACUAAAAAAGAAUAUGCAAAAUCAAUAUUUCAAUUACACAAAUUUAUGGUCAGUAUAAGAAUAUUAAAAAAAAAAGCAAAAAUGAAAAAAAAACCAGUGAAAGAACAACUGACCAAUUAACGGCGUUGAGUCCUAUAUAUGUGGGAACUAGGAUGCCGGGAAGUAGCAAGUCGGCGGACUAGAACCAGAGGUUUUUUAAGUUUUGAGCAAGAAUUAUUCUGAAGCGUUCCCGUAGUCCCAACAGGUUUUAACUUUUAAAGCUUAACAUGUACCUCCUCUAAAGUUUUCUAAAUUGCAUCUAUCGCCCAUAUCUCUUUACUUUUUCCUUUUCCGUACUUUUUGUGAAUGGGAUAUUGAGGUGCGUGAGCCGAGCCGGCAACAGACGAUCCAAUUCUCUCUCUCUUUUUUUUUUUUUUUUAAAGUAUUCCAUCUAAAAUAGAUUGAGACUAUUUGAUGGCCAUAGGCUCAGCAAUUUCUUUUCACACCAGGACUAAUACGAGCUUCCCAAUUAUCUCCCAAACAUACAAGUAUUUUCUUUCUAUUUUAAUCCUUUUAAGUGAAGACAUAACUCCGUUUUUGGAGAUGGCUUUUGCUUAACAAAGCUCCCACGGUCGGUUGAUCAUUGAUGAUAGAAGAGUAAACUUCUUUCUCAUUUUAUGCUUUCUUAAAUUCCCAAGAUGAAUGAAAUCAUUGCCACAAUGAUUAAUAUUAACAUUCGUCCAUGCUAGAGUCAAUCUCACAGACGCAUUAUUAGAUUGAUUUUAUUAUUAAAUUAGGAUCAUAAUACCACUUUAAUGAAAUCACAAUCUUUCAAAUCUUUUAAAUUAUUAUAAAUUUUAACUUACUCUCAUUUUUAUUAAAAAGAUAAAAAAAUUUCAUGCUCUUAUUUUUCCUUUAUCUUUUAAAUAAAAAUAAAAUAAAAUUUACAAUAAUUUAAAUAAUAUUUUGAAGGGUUUUCUGAAUUUUGAAGAUUUUCAUUCUACAAAAAGAUUUUGCUCCCUAUUAUUUUCAUUUUAAGAAGAAAAGUUAUGUAGCUACGUUUGAUACCGGAUGUCUUUUGAAAGAAAGUUGUCAUGUAUCUGGAACUCUGGAAGGGUGUCGGUGAAAUUGUCUUCAUCCAUAGAUGCCGUUAAAUCUUAUGAACAUCCUCGAAGACUUUCCCAGAUCAAGACUUCAAGAGAAGAUAUGGAAGCGUUGCUACACAGAAAAUCAACUUUCUAGCACAAAAUGUCAAGAAAUGCCUUACGGAAAAAGACUGGAUACAUCCUAUAAAAAUUAAAAAAAAAAAAAAAAAAAAAACACAUAAAACCAAGAUGAAAUUGAAAACAGGAUACCAUGGUUGAAAAAAAUUAGGACGAGAGCAUGAAAACAAAAUUGGGUGUACUUCAUAAAUAUUUAAUACUCAACUCUGAAAUUAAGAAAAGUGAAUGCCAGCCUUGUUAAACAAAGAGAGAAGAUAUAAGAACUCUUGUUGUGUUAGCUUAGAAGCCCUCUUCUCUUCGAACUGUCCCUCUCUCAACACAGCCAAAACUUUGUCCUUGAACUCGGACACCUCACCUUCAACAUCACUAUCGCCAUCAUCAUCUUCCACAUCCAUUUCGUCAUCACUUCCAUCAUCCAUCCCCAUACUUUGAUCCCCAUUAGAAUCCCCCAGACUUGGUGUAUCCGUUCCGAUAUCCGUAUUUCCCAAGGAACUAUUCUGUGAAGAUUGUAAUGCCUGUAGGGUCCGGUAGUUCUUUUCAAGCAUCGAUAGGACAUUUUUCAGCCUGAAAAUUGAGCUAAGGGUUUUGUUCUUUCUUAUGAAACAAAUCCGUAAAAAUCCAUCCCACUCUACAGGAUUCACUUGAGGACGCGGUUUCCUAGGCUCAAUUCGAACAACUGAGGAAUCAACCUUAGGUGGAGGACGGAAAUUGUUCUUCCCAACUUUAAGGAGGUGGGAGACCCGAGCAUGAAGUUGUGUAUUCACAGAAAGCCGACAGUAGAGCUUGUCACCAGGUUGAGCAACAAGUCUCAUAGCAAAUUCUUUCUGGAACAUAAUGAUCGCGCAUCUGAAGGCAGGUUGGUGAAACAACAACUUGAAUGUGAGUGGAGAGGAGAUUUGGUACGGGAUGUUUGCCACACAUAUAUCAAAAUAGGGAAGAUCAGUCUUGAGGACAUCACCUUGAAUGACCUGUACAGCAAAGAAAUCAGUUUCUAUUAAUUUUACAAAUGCACAACAUUCCGAUCAUCUUCUUCCUUCAAAUAAAUUAAGAAUGUCAGCACAUGCACAGUCAGAAAAGGAAUCCUACAUUGUUUCUGCUUCUGCCUUAAAGCAGACAAAAUUUGGGAAUGUGAUUGAUUAGUUAAAGCAUACUAAUGUUAAUUAACACACACAUACACACACUCUCUCUGAAGUAGAAGAACAGUGCCUAAUGCAAAACAAAUGUUAUUAGCUAGAAACAUAGUAAUUUGUCUGAAAGGAUUUUAAACCUUGAGAAAGAGAUUAGUCUGAUAAUAUUGUUCUGAGGCAAUAAAUAUAUAAGGCAGGAACUGUAAUGGUAGUAUGAAACCAUUAAAGAUUAAAA